AGGUGAUUGCAGCAAUACAACAAUAGCAACAACAUCACCAUGUUUAAAGUAAUCAAUCUCACUUCUGCACACACAAAAGAUAGAAGAUGAGAAAAAGAAAAUUACGAUGAAGAAAAGGUAUAUGGUGAUGAACAUCAAUAGCACCAACCAAGUUGUCCGUAGACACAAACAGUAUGGCACAUUAGUCCAUUAGUCCACAUCAUUACAUUAUUAGCUAUUAGUGCUCUUGCAGAGUGCGACAUCUGCAGUAUAUACUGUACGUUUGAUCACAUCAGAUGACGGACCAUAUUUAGCAACAGAUUAUCGUUUCCUUCAGUCUUCAGUAUUCAUGCAUGUUGUUCGCCCUUUAUCCAAAUACUUACAUAACCAUUCUUGGAGUUCAGAUCCUUCAAGAAAGGGAAUAAGGUUACUAUUCCAAGCGCAUAAGACACUCGAAUACUUGCUGGUGGGGGCCUUCUGUAUAACAGAAAAAAAAAGACUACAUUAGCUGGUUAGCCUUGCUAUUACAUAUAACAGAAUAUCAAACAAAUGUCUGAUGCCUACCGACACACUCUAACGCUACUGACUUUUGAACCUGUUUGGUACUCAAGGGAAAUACCUCAUAGACUUUGGGAAAUAACGAAAGAUGGAGGGAGAAGGAACAAAAGGAGGACGUACGAAUAAGAAUAAAGAGAAAGCAAGGUCAACAACAACAACAAGGUCAACAGCAACAACAACAGGGACAACAACAAGGUCAACAACAACAAAAAGGGCAACAACAACAAGGACAGCGACAAGGAGGACACAACAACAAGGACGACAACAACAACAAUGACAACAGCAGCAAUGACAAGAAUGACAAAAAAGCCACAUUAUUAUCAUCAACAACAACAACGACGACGGACUCAUACCUACCCAUGAUUUUCCAUCAUGUCUGCCACUAGUAUGUUGACCAUCUUCCUCCUUGUUCCAUCUGAGAGACAUUUCAUCUUAUUAUACUCAUGAAAUAUCCUGUCACCCCCGAGCUUCUCACAGAGCGCAGUGUGGACCAUCUGAAAUUAAACAUCAUACAUUUUACAAUGUGCAAAGCUGAAUCAAUUCAACAAAGACGAACAAUCAUAAAGCUCAAACGGAAAUUAGAUUUCAAACCUAGACACAAGGUUCUGUAAUUCAACAACCUAGCACUGGCAGAUGUUUUGACCCUACUUCAUGUCAGUGUCCUAAAGUACCAGGUGUUUACUACCUCGUUGAUAAGCAGAAUUUGCUGUUAUAGUAGUAGGUGUUAUAACAAAGUGUACUAGACUCAAGGAUAAUAUUAUUUAAUAACGAGAAGCAUCAUUACCUACUUCAGUACACUUAAAGUAAUACUAUGGAGUUUCUGGAGCCGUCAGCUAGGAGGGUACCUUCUGCUGGACUAUUCAGUAACUUAUUUGCUGUCU
ensembl:lncRNA